AACCCAUGUUGAGGACAUUUCUGCAGGAGAUCCUUGAACCUGUCCCAUGUCUCAAAAAGAGACUCAAAUUUCAUUUGUACAAAAGAGGAUAUUUCGUUCCUAAGCUU